GUCCUCAUGAUAGAAAUGUGAGGUCUGGCCUGCCCACUGAGGAGAAUUGAAGGGCCGCGGUAUAUUAACCGUGCGAAGGUAGCAUAGUCAAUAGUCUUUUAAUUGGAGGCUUGAAUGAACGGUCGGACAUGAAGGAGACUGUCUUGGUUUGUAGAGAUGAAUUUAACUUUUGUGUGAAAAGGCAUUAAUGGGUUAGGGGGACGAUAAGACCCUAUAAAACUUGAUAUUUAGUUGUUGGAUUUUCUAUUUAUGGGUUAAAGAAUGGGUUCGGUGAAGUGUAUUGUGCUGGGGCGGCAGGAAUAAAAGAAUUAACUGUUCUUGUUAAUAUAAUAAUUAUAAUUAGAUAUUGACCCUGAAUUUUGGGUUAAAAGUUUAAGUUACUUUAGGGAUAACAGCGUUAUUUCUCUUGAGAGUUCAUAUCGACAGAGAUGUUUGCGACCUCGAUGUUGAAUUAAAGCUUUCCCUGGGAGUAGAAGUUUAGGUGAUAGGUCUGUUCGACCUUUAAAGUUUUACAUGAUUUGAGUUCAAACCGGUGUGAG
rnacentral:rRNA from 1 species